rnacentral:rRNA from 1 species
GACGGAGGGUGCAAGCGUUAUCCGGAAUGAUUGGGCGUAAAGCGUCCGCAGGUGGCAGUUUAAGUCUGCUGUCAAAGACCGGGGCUUAACUUCGGAAAGGCAGUGGAAACUGAACAGCUAGAGUAUGGUAGGGGCAGAGGGAAUUCCUGGUGUAGCGGUGAAAUGCGUAGAGAUCAGGAAGAACAUCGGUGGCGAAGGCGCUCUGCUGGACCAUAACUGACACUCAGGGACGAAAGCUAGGGGAGCGAAUGGG